rnacentral:rRNA from 1 species
GACGAACGCUGGCGGCGUGCUUAACACAUGCAAGUCGAACGGAAAGGCCCUGCUUUUGUGGGGUGCUCGAGUGGCGAACGGGUGAGUAACACGUGAGUAACCUGCCCUUGACUUUGGGAUAACUUCAGGAAACUGGGGCUAAUACCGGAUAGGAGCUCCUGCUGCAUGGUGGGGGUUGGAAAGUUUCGGCGGUUGGGGAUGGACUUGCGGCUUAUCAGCUUGUUGGUGGGGUAGUGGCUUACCAAGGCUUUGACGGGUAGCCGGCCUGAGAGGGUGACCGGCCACAUUGGGACUGAGAUACGGCCCAGACUCCUACGGGAGGCAGCAGUGGGGAAUAUUGCACAAUGGGCGGAAGCCUGAUGCAGCAACGCCGCGUGCGGGAUGACGGCCUUCGGGUUGUAAACCGCUUUCGCCUGUGACGAAGCGUGAGUGACGGUAAUGGGUAAAGAAGCACCGGCUAACUACGUGCCAGCAGCCGCGGUGAUACGUAGGGUGCGAGCGUUGUCCGGAUUUAUUGGGCGUAAAGGGCUCGUAGGUGGUUGAUCGCGUCGGAAGUGUAAUCUUGGGGCUUAACCCUGAGCGUGCUUUCGAUACGGGUUGACUUGAGGAAGGUAGGGGAGAAUGGAAUUCCUGGUGGAGCGGUGGAAUGCGCAGAUAUCAGGAGGAACACCAGUGGCGAAGGCGGUUCUCUGGGCCUUUCCUGACGCUGAGGAGCGAAAGCGUGGGGAGCGAACAGGCUUAGAUACCCUGGUAGUCCACGCUGUAAACGGUGGGUACUAGGUGUGGGGUCCAUUCCACGGGUUCCGUGCCGUAGCUAACGCUUUAAGUACCCCGCCUGGGGAGUACGGCCGCAAGGCUAAAACUCAAAGGAACUGACGGGGCCCCGCACAAGCGGCGGAGCAUGCGGAUUAAUUCGAUGCAACGCGUAGAACCUUACCUGGGUUUGACAUGGAUCGGGAGUGCUCAGAGAUGGGUGUGCCUCUUUUGGGGUCGGUUCACAGGUGGUGCAUGGCUGUCGUCAGCUCGUGUCGUGAGAUGUUGGGUUAAGUCCCGCAACGAGCGCAACCCUUGUUCACUGUUGCCAGCACGUUAUGGUGGGGACUCAGUGGAGACCGCCGGGGUCAACUCGGAGGAAGGUGGGGAUGACGUCAAGUCAUCAUGCCCCUUAUGUCCAGGGCUUCACGCAUGCUACAAUGGCUGGUACAGAGAGUGGCGAGCCUGUGAGGGUGAGCGAAUCUCGGAAAGCCGGUCUCAGUUCGGAUUGGGGUCUGCAACUCGACCUCAUGAAGUCGGAGUCGCUAGUAAUCGCAGAUCAGCAACGCUGCGGUGAAUACGUUCCCGGGGCU